ACUGGUGACGAUAGUGGAGGGGUCCCACCCGAUCCCAUUCCGAACUCGGAAGUUAAGCCCUCUAACGCCGAUGGUACUGCAGCUCCUGGCUGUGGGAGAGUAGGUCAUCGCCAGUC
rnacentral:rRNA from 2 species